rnacentral:rRNA from 1 species
UGAACGCUGGCGGCGUGCCUAACACAUGCAAGUCGAGCGGAGUUUAUCAAGUAGCUUGCUACAUGAUAAACUUAGCGGCGGACGGGUGAGUAACGCGUGAGCAACCUGCCUUAUACAGGGGGACAACACAGAGAAAUUUGUGCUAAUACCGCAUAAAUUCACUAGAGGGCAUCCUCAAGGUGAACAAAGGAGAAAUCCGGUAUAAGAUGGGCUCGCGUCCAAUUAGCUAGUUGGUGGGGUAAAAGCCUACCAAGGCGACGAUUGGUAGCCGGACUGAGAGGUUGAACGGCCACAUUGGGACUGAGACACGGCCCAGACUCCUACGGGAGGCAGCAGUGGGGAAUAUUGCGCAAUGGGGGAAACCCUGACGCAGCAACGCCGCGUGAAGGAAGAAGGCUUUCGGGUUGUAAACUUCUUUGAUCAGGGAAGAAAAAAAUGACGGUACCUGAAAAACAAGCCACGGCUAACUAC